rnacentral:rRNA from 1 species
GAGCGGCGAACGGGUGAGUAACACGUGAGUAACCUGCCCCUGACUCUGGGAUAAGCCUGGGAAACCGGGUCUAAUACCGGAUGUGACCUCCUCCGGCAUCGGAUGGUGGUGGAAAGUUUUUCGGUCAGGGAUGGGCUCGCGGCCUAUCAGCUUGUUGGUGGGGUAGUGGCCUACCAAGGCGACGACGGGUAGCCGGCCUGAGAGGGCGACCGGCCACACUGGGACUGAGACACGGCCCAGACUCCUACGGGAGGCAGCAGUGGGGAAUAUUGCGCAAUGGGCGGAAGCCUGACGCAGCGACGCCGCGUGGGGGAUGACGGCCUUCGGGUUGUAAACCUCUUUCAGCAGGGACGAAGUUGACGUGUACCUGCAGAAGAAGCGCCGGCUAACUACGUGCCAGCAGCCGCGGUAAUACGUAGGGCGCAAGCGUUGUCCGGAAUUAUUGGGCGUAAAGAGCUCGUAGGUGGCUUGGUCGCGUCUGCCGUGAAAGCCCGCAGCUUAACUGCGGGUCUGCGGUGGAUACGGGCCGGCUAGAGGUAGGUAGGGGCAAGUGGAAUUCCU